rnacentral:rRNA from 1 species
CGACGCUGGCGGCGUGCCUAAUACAUGCAAGUCGAACGGUCUUUCUAUGGAAGCUUGCUCCACUGAGAAGAUAGUGGCGAACGGGUGAGUAACACGUGGGUAACCUGCCCAUAAGAGGGGGGAUAACAUCCGGAAACGGGUGCUAAUACCGCAUAGUUUUCUUGAUCGCAUGAUUGAGAAAGGAAAGACGGCCUUUGUGCUGUCGCUUAUGGAUGGACCCGCGGCGUAUUAGUUAGUUGGUGAGGUAAUGGCUCACCAAGACGAUGAUACGUAGCCGACCUGAGAGGGUGAUCGGCCACAUUGGGACUGAGACACGGCCCAAACUCCUACGGGAGGCAGCAGUAGGGAAUCUUCCGCAAUGGACGAAAGUCUGACGGAGCAACGCCGCGUGAGUGAAGAAGGUUUUUUCGGAUCGUAAAACUCUGUUGUCAGAGAAGAACAAGUUGGAGAGUAACUGCUCCAGCCUUGACGGUAUCUGACCAGAAAGCCACGGCUAACUACGUGCCAGCCGCUGC